rnacentral:rRNA from 1 species
CAGCAGCAGCCGCGGGAAAACGAAGGGGGCUAGCGUUGUUCGGAUUUACUGGGCGUAAAGCGCACGUAGGCGGACGCUUAAGUCAGGGGUGAAAUCCCGAGGCUCAACCUCGGAACUGCCUUUGAUACUGGGUGUCUUGAGUCCGGAAGAGGUGAGUGGAACUGCGAGUGUAGAGGUGAAAUUCGUAGAUAUUCGCAAGAACACCAGUGGCGAAGGCGGCUCACUGGUCCGGAACUGACGCUGAGGUGCGAAAGCGUGGGGAGCAAACAGGAUUAGAUACCCCUGUAGUCCCUGUCUCUUAUAC